CCCCCCAUGGCGUAGUGGUAUAGUACCCGCUUAAAGCCAUGCGGGGAGCGGGAUGGCCAGGGUUCGAUUCCCCCCUCAGACGGGGGA